GACGAACGCUGGCGGCGUGCUUAACACAUGCAAGUCGAACGGAAAGGCCCCUUUGGGGGUACUCGAGUGGCGCACGGGUGAGUAACACGUGAGUAACCUGCCCUUGACUUCGGGAUAACUUCAGGAAACUGGGGCUAAUACCGGAUAGGAAUCCUUGCUGCAUGGUGGGGGUUGGAAAGCUUCGGCGGUUUUGGAUGGACUCGCGGCUUAUCAGCUUGUUGGUGGGGUAGUGGCUUACCAAGGCUUCGACGGGUAGCCGGCCUGAGAGGGCGACCGGCCACAUUGGGACUGAGAUACGGCCCAGACUCCUACGGGAGGCAGCAGUGGGGAAUAUUGCACAAUGGGCGGAAGCCUGAUGCAGCAACGCCGCGUGCGGGAUGACGGCCUUCGGGUUGUAAACCGCUUUCAGCAGGGGCGAAGCUUGUGGUGACGGUACCUGCAGAAGAAGCACCGGCUAACUACGUG
rnacentral:rRNA from 1 species